GUGAGUGGAAUAAAGCCUAAUGUAUUCAACACAAGUGUCACUACAAUAAAGCUAGAUAUUAAAGAUCUUGAUAUUGUCAUUAAAGAAUUAACAUCAGAUCAACACUUGCCCUGUUCUGUAUGGCACAGACUAGGUCUACAGUUAGGAUUAUAUGAUCCUAGACUAGUGGAUAUAGA